rnacentral:rRNA from 1 species
GAUGAACGCUGGCGGCGUGCCUAAUACAUGCAAGUCGAGCGAACAGACGAGGAGCUUGCUCCUCUGACGUUAGCGGCGGACGGGUGAGUAACACGUGGAUAACCUACCUAUAAGACUGGGAUAACUUCGGGAAACCGGAGCUAAUACCGGAUAAUAUAUUGAACCGCAUGGUUCAAUAGUGAAAGACGGUUUUGCUGUCACUUAUAGAUGGAUCCGCGCCGCAUUAGCUAGUUGGUAAGGUAACGGCUUACCAAGGCGACGAUGCGUAGCCGACCUGAGAGGGUGAUCGGCCACACUGGAACGGGACCACGGUCCAGACUCCUACGGGAGGCAGCAGUAGGGAAUCUUCGGCAAUGGGCGAAAGCCUGACGGAGCAACGCCGCGUGAGUGAUGAAGGUCUUCGGAUCGUAAAACUCUGUUAUUAGGGAAGAACAAAUGUGUAAGUAACUAUGCACGUCUUGACGGUACCUAAUCAGAAAGCCACGGCUAACUACGUG